rnacentral:rRNA from 1 species
AUCAGGGGUAAACCUGUGGAACUCGAACGAACGAACGGGGAGAUUCAACGUAUUUCCGUUUACGGGUCCGCGCGUACGGUGUCGGCGGUCGUGGCGUCGCUCACGCGGCGUCUACGCGCCGUCGUCUCCGGACACGUGGAAGGGCCCGCGGAGUGCGUGCACUUCUCCCUCAGUAAAACACCGCGACCCGUUCGUUUUUGUGUCGAUCGAACGCGCCGUGCGGCCGUCCCGCAUCUCGUUUUUCGACGGUGCGGAGCCGCGGCGUCGCGAUCGACGACGGACGGUAGAGAACGAGGUUCGCGUUCGCCCCCCCAAACGAGAGGGCGUCCGUGUCGCGGGCCGAACGGGCCCCGUGCGCGCCUCGGCGUUCACGCGUCGUGGGUCGCGCGCGUAGGUCUGCCCGUUCGCGGCGUUGCGACGUCUCGGACGGAACGCGUCCCGGUCGGCGGUGGUUUUGUUUCGGGCACUCACAGGACCC